rnacentral:rRNA from 1 species
UACGUAGGGCGCAAGCGUUGUCCGGAAUUAUUGGGCGUAAAGAGCGUGUAGGCGGCUUUACAGGUCCGUUGUGAAAACUCGAGGCUCAACCUCGAGACGCCGGUGGAAACCGUAAGGCUAGAGUCCGGAAGAGGAGAGUGGAAUUCCUGGUGUAGCGGUGAAAUGCGCAGAUAUCAGGAGGAACACCGGUGGCGAAGGCGGUUCUCUGGGCCUUACCUGACGCUGAGGAGCGAAAGCGUGGGGAGCGAACAGG